GGAACACACCUCACCCAUGCCCUGUCUGGUGACACGCUCCAGCCACUCCAGCCCCCCGGGCUCAAUCACCCAGACUCUCACUGGAGCGACCAGACCCUGCUCCAGGCCAGCAGAGGUGCACAGGCCAGGCCACUCCUCUCGGCUUGCUCCCUGUCCUUCCUGGCUGAACCCCAUCCUCUCAGGGACGAACCUCCAAGGACAGUGCCGGUCAGUGGGUGACAGACAAGUGUUCAUGCAGAUGGAGUUUUAGUGGCAACAGCAAGAGCCACAUGAACUGUGUGAGCAAGAGAGGCCUUUACAAUGCACAUCGGCUGCUCAUGGAAGCUGCAGGAUGGACAGAGCCUCAACCAGGGCCUUUGGCACUGGACAGAGCUCAUCCACACCCUCAGGAUCUUCUGGCUGUGACCCCCUGACCCUGCCAACUCCAACCUUGCUGACAUCUCUCUCCUC